rnacentral:rRNA from 1 species
CCUACGGGAGGCAGCAGUGGGGAAUUUUGGACAAUGGGGGAAACCCUGAUCCAGCCAUUCCGCGUGAGUGAAGAAGGCCUUCGGGUUGUAAAGCUCUUUCGGCAGGAACGAAACGGCGGACUCUAACAUAGUCUGUCAAUGACGGUACCUGAAGAAGAAGCACCGGCUAACUACGUGCCAGCAGCCGCGGUAAUACGUAGGGUGCGAGCGUUAAUCGGAAUUACUGGGCGUAAAGCGUGCGCAGGCGGCUUUGUAAGACGGAGGUGAAAUCCCUGGGCUUAACCAGGGAACUGCGUUCGUGACUGCAAAGCUGGAGGGCGGCAGAGGGGGGUGAAAUUCCUGGGGUAGCAGUAAAAUGCGUAGAGAUCAGGAGGAACACCGAGGGCGAGGGCAGCCCCCGGGGUUGGCACUGACGCUCAUGCGCGAAAGCGUGGGGAGCAAACAGGAUUAGAUCCCCUUGUAGU